ensembl:lncRNA
GUUUCUGUUUUCCUUCACAUUCAGUUGUGUCUUUUUCCUGAUUUCUUGUAUCAAAUGCUUAACUUAAUUUCUUCCUUUUCUGUUAGGAAUCUUAAGGUUUUAGAUGAUUAAAUUUCCUCUAAGUACAGAUUUGUCUUUCUGUGGUGUUUUUUUUUUUUUUUUUGCCUUUUCUGCGGUGACUCCCGCAGCAUUUGGAGAUUCCCAGGCUAGGGGUUGAAUCAGAGCUGUAGCCGCCGGCCUACACCAGAGCCACAGCAACGAGGGAGCCGAGCCAUGUCUGCAACCUACACCUCAGCUCACGGCAACGCCGGAUCCUUAACCCACUGAGCAAGGCCAGGGAUUGAACCCGCAACCUCAUGGUUCCUAGUCGGAUUCGUUAACCACUGCGCCACAACGGGAACUCCAAGGAGGGAAUUUUAAGUUUUCCAACUGACAGUGUUAUUUAUUUUUGCUUUUUAGGGCCACACCUGCAGCAUAUGAAAGUUCCCAGGCUAGGGGUGAAAUCCAAGCUGCAGCUGCCUGCCAGUCUGCACCAUAGCCACAGCAAUAUGGGAUGGAUCUCUGUGGCCUACACCACAGCUCACAGCAACGCCGGAUCCUUAACCCGCUGAGUGAGGCCAGGGAUCGAACCUGUAUCCUCAUGGAUGCUAGUCAGAUUGGUUUCCACUGAGCCACUAUGGGAACUCUGGAUUAUUUUUACUUCUGCUCUUAUUAUAUCUUGUUUUAUUUUUUGUUGUUUUUUUUUUUUUUUUUUUUUUUUUGAGGGGCACACUUGCCACAUAUGGAAGUUCCCAGGCUAGGGGUCAAAUUGGAGCUGUAGUCAGUGGCCUGCACCACAGCCACACCAGAUCCAAGCCUCAUCUGAGACCUACACCACAGCUCACAGCAAUGCCAGAUCCUUAACCCAUGAGUGAGGCCGGGGAUAGAACCUGCGUCUUCACGGAUGCUCGUCAGAUUCCUUUCCACUCUGCUGUGCUGUGACAGAACUCCCUGUUGCCACCUUUUGACCAUAUUUGCUGAUCUACCUUGGUCAGGUCAGCUCUUACUGUUUCUGUUUUGAAUGGGCCUUGGUCUACCAAGGUGUAGGGAUUUCUGUAUUUUCCAGCGUCUCCCUCUUGGGAUUUUUUUUCCUUUGAAAGUUGCUCUGCGGUAGAGGUUUUGCUCCUCCCUUAUGCUUCCAUGGCGGAUGGUUGUCCUCACCGAGGCAAAAUGACUCUCCUGUUCCUUUCUUUCUCUCUUGUGUCUGGCGUCUCUCAUGCAGUGUUCCACAUUGGUGAGUUUAUUCCUUCUCGCUGCUGCUGCUUUGUUUCAUUGAGGUGUAAUUGACAAGGUGAACAGGACAAUGAUUUGACUGAGAUACGUUAUGAGAUGAGGCCCACAGUAACAUUUAGUGAGCAUCCAUCCUCUCGCAGAGAUAGAAAAUUAAAGGCGUAGAAACACAUGGUUUUUCCUCGUGGUGAGGUUUACACCUUAAUGACCUUCGCAUGUAACAUACAGUAGUGUUAAUUAUAUUUACAUGUUGUACAUUGUAUCCCUGGUUCUUCAGGUUCUUGUAUCUGGAAGUUUGUACCUUUUGGCGGCCUUCAUCCAGUUCCCCUCCCCACCUCUGCCUCCGAUAACCACAGGUCUGAUCUUUUGUCUCUGAGUUUGUUUUGAAGUAUCGCUGACCUGCAGCUCUGUAUUGGUACCUGGUACCCCGUACAGUGAUUCAGUAUUUCUCUGCAUUUCAGAAUCAUCACCACGACAAGCCUAGUUACCAUCUGUCUGUUCCUUCUAGUUGUGAAAUAGUAUUCUGUUAUGUGAGUGUAAUAUUUAUUCGUUCUAGCUGUGAUAGAUUUUACUUAGCUCGGUUCCAUUUAGAGCUGUGGUGAAGAGUGCUGCCAUUGCUGUGCUCACGCGUCCUUCGGUGUGUCUUGGUAUGCGUUCUCUUGCGUUCCUACCUAGGAAUGGAAUUGCUAGGUCCCAGGGGACGCAUAGGUUCGGCUUUAGUAGGCAGCUGCCACUUUUCCAGAGAGUGUACCAAUUGGCACACCCACCAGUAGUGCACAAGUGUCGUCCUUCCUUCCCACACUCACCAGCCCUUGGUGUAAAGAUGUCUCCUCUCACCAGAUUGAUCUCUAGAUGCUGCGCGAUUCCAACCAGAAUCCCAGCAGACUUUUCUUUUGCUGUUGGUUAUUUGGAAAUUUGACAAACCGAUUAUGAAACUUAUGUGAAAAUGCGAAAAAGGACCAAGACUAAGCAACGCUGGAAGGGCUCAGCUGACUAGAUGUCAAGGCUUUAUAAAAGCCACAGUAAGGAAGGCAGCACAGUGUUGGUGAAAGGCUAGACAAAUGGACCGAUGGAACUGUGAUCUUGAAACAGGCUGCAUGGAAGCAGUCACUUAAUGUAUGACAAAGGUGCCACAUGACAGAUGGAAAAAAUGGCCUUUUCAAAAAAAGGUCCUGGGAAGGUUGGAUUCUCCAUGUAGAGGAGGUGGGGGGAGAAUCUUCUGCCUGUAAUCCUGUCUAGAAUCAGUUUUAGGUAGAUUAUAGAGCUAAACGUGAAAGAGAAAACAGAGCUUCUGGAGUAAACAGGAGAAUAUCUUUACCGUCUUGGAGAAGACAGUUCUUUAAAUAGGAUACAGAAAGUGCUACCAAAAUAGAGAAGAUUGGUACAUUGAACUGCCUUAAGCCUUCUCUCUUCUACUUUCUACAAAUGCUCCAAUGAAAUGCAGCAAACACUGUUUUGUAAUUGCCCAGAUCGUUAGAUAAUCCGUCAGUCCCCUGCUCUCCACGGAUGGACGGCUCCUCUGCUGCCUUCAGUGCAGCUGCCUGGGGCUUUCUUUGGCUGUCACUCAGGGUCUUGUUCCUCUAUGUUGGAUCCCCUGUUUCUUGGGUCCGUGGGUGGUGUGAACAUCAAAUAACAGCGACUCUCUUAAGCUGCCUUGGAGCAAUAAGGUCACUGGCUCAAGUUAAGUAGAAUUCCAGCAGUUCCCCUUUGGUUGGUCCAGAUACCUUUCUUGUCUGGGUGGGUCUCUGGCCAGGGGGAUGGAGUUCUCUUAGAUGGAGCUGGGUGUGGGUCAGCUUCCCAGGCGCAGGCUUCUUGGGAAGGGACAAGGUCACGUCCUCCAGGAAAGAAGAAGAGAGAGUUGACUUCCAGGAGGUCAGUCCACCGUGGCCACUGCAACAUUUGCCCGUGUCUUGGUUUGCUUUCUUACUCGUUAGAGCAUCUUUCCCUGUAACUUUCUGAGAAGGUAGAAUGUUUUGAGUCCUUUUGCGAGUCUAAAAAAGUUUUUUUCUAUCUUCACACUUGCCUCUGUCAGCAGAUUCUAGAUUUUAGACUGAAAAUUGUUUUCGGGGGAAGGGAAUGAUGCUGGUAAGCGUAGCGCAGUUGCUCCCAGACUCAUUGCCCCUCCCUCCUUUAUUCCUCCCUGGGGCCUUUUUUGGGGGCGAUGAUUGGCUUUCGGUAGCUUUGGGUCCUUGUCUUUAUCCCCAGUGUCCUGGGAUUUCACUUUGUACUUCCAUUGCUCUGAGGACUUGGAGGAGGGCUCUUGCAGUCUUGGGUCCUUUAGCUCUGGGAAUUUGUCUUGUAAUUUUUAUUUGAUGAUUUCCCUCCCUUUUCUCCCCUUUGUGUUUCUGGAACUCCUGGAUUAAUCUGAUUUUUCUGGGAGAAACCAGUGUUCAUCUCCUGGUUAAUUUGUCUGCGAUUUCCUUGACUUUAUCUUGCAUUGCUUCUAUUGAAAUUGAAAUUAAGAAAGUUCCCUUGUAGCACAGGGGGUUAAAGAUCUGGCAUUGCUGCAGCUGUGGUACAG